rnacentral:rRNA from 1 species
GCAGUCGAGCGGAACGAGUUAUCUGAACCUUCGGGGAACGAUAACGGCGUCGAGCGGCGGACGGGUGAGUAAUGCCUAGGAAAUUGCCCUGAUGUGGGGGAUAACCAUUGGAAACGAUGGCUAAUACCGCAUGAUGCCUACGGGCCAAAGAGGGGGACCUUCGGGCCUCUCGCGUCAGGAUAUGCCUAGGUGGGAUUAGCUAGUUGGUGAGGUAAGGGCUCACCAAGGCGACGAUCCCUAGCUGGUCUGAGAGGAUGAUCAGCCACACUGGAACUGAGACACGGUCCAGACUCCUACGGGAGGCAGCAGUGGGGAAUAUUGCACAAUGGGCGCAAGCCUGAUGCAGCCAUGCCGCGUGUAUGAAGAAGGCCUUCGGGUUGUAAAGUACUUUCAGUCGUGAGGAAGGCGGGUACCUUAAUAGCGUGUUCGUUUGACGUUAGCUACAGUAGAAGCACCGGCUAACUCCGUGCCAGCAGCCGCGGUAAUACGGAGGGUGCGAGCGUUAAUCGGAAUUACUGGGCGUAAAGCGCAUGCAGGUGGUUUGUUAAGUCAGAUGUGAAAGCCCGGGGCUCACCCUCGGGAA